rnacentral:rRNA from 1 species
UACGUAGGGGGCAAGCGUUGUCCGGAAUCAUUGGGCGUAAAGAGCGUGUAGGCGGUUCGGUAAGUCGGCUGUGAAAGUCCAGGGCUCAACCCUGGGAUGCCGGUCGAUACUGCCGGGCUAGAGUCCGGGAGAGGCGAGUGGAAUUCCUGGUGUAGCGGUGGAAUGCGCAGAUAUCAGGAGGAACACCUAAGGCGAAGGCAGCUCGCUGGAACGGUACUGACGCUGAGGCGCGAAAGCGUGGGGAGCAAACAGG